rnacentral:rRNA from 1 species
ACCCUGCACUUACAAGCUGUGGAAGCACAUUUCUUGUGUGACCGCGUACUUUUUGUAGAACGGGCCAACGAGUUACGUUAAGUAGCAAGGUUAAGCACUUAAGGUGCGGAGCCGUAGCGAAAGCGAGUUUUAACUGAGCGUUCAGUUACUUGACGUAGACCCGAAACCGGGCGACCUACCCAUGAGCAGGAUGAAGCGAAAGUAAAAUUUCGU